rnacentral:rRNA from 1 species
UACGUAGGCAGCAAGCGUUGUUCGGAAUUACUGGGCGUAAAGAGUGUGUAGGCGGUGUUCUAAGUUUGUCGUGAAAUCUCCUGGCUCAACUGGGAGGGUGCGCCGGAAACUGGAGUGCUUGAGCGUGGGAGAGGAAAGCGGAAUUCCUGGUGUAGCGGUGAAAUGCGUAGAUAUCAGGAGGAACACCUGUGGUGUAGACGGCUUUCUGGACCAUAGCUGACGCUGAGACACGAAAGCGUGGGUAGCAAACAGG